rnacentral:rRNA from 1 species
GCUCCUUGGUGAUUCAUAAUAACUUAACGAAUCGCAUGGCCUUGCGCCGGCGAUGGUUCAUUCAAAUUUCUGCCCUAUCAACUUUCGAUGGUAGGAUAGUGGCCUACCAUGGUCUUAACGGGUAACGGGGAAUUAUGGGUUCGAUUCCGGAGAGGGAGCCUGAGAAACGGCUACCACAUCCAAGGAAGGCAGCAGGCGCGCAAAUUACCCAAUCUCGAUCCGGGGAGGUAGUGACAAUAAAUACUGAUACGGGGCUCUUUCGGGUCUCGUAAUUGGAAUGAGUACAAUCUAAAUCCCUUAACGAGGAACAAUUGGAGGGCAAGUCUGGUGCCAGCAGCCGCGGUAAUUCCAGCUCCAAUAGCGUAUAUUAAAGUUGUUGCCGUUAAAAAGCUCGUAGUUGAACCUUGGACCUGGCUGAUCUGUCCUCCUAAUCGAGCGCACGGAUUCGGUCGGGUCUUUCCUUCUGGGGAGCCUCAUGCCCUUCGCUGGGUGUGUUGGGGAACCAGGACCUUUACCUUGAAAAAAUUAGAGUGUUCAAAGCAGGCCUUUGCUCGAAUACAUUAGCAUGGAAUAAUAGAAUAGGACGUCGGUUCUAUUUUGUUGGUUUCUAGGACCGCUGUAAUGAUUAAUAGGGACAGUCGGGGGCGUCAGUAUUCAAUUGUCAGAGGUGAAAUUCUUGGAUUUAUUGAAGACUAACUACUGCGAAAGCAUUCGCCAAGGAUGUUUUCAUUAAUCAGUGAACGAAAGUUAGGGGAUCGAAGACGAUCAGAUACCGUCGUAGUCUUAACCAUAAACUAUGCCGACUAGGGAUCGGACGGUGGUUUUUUUAUGCCCCGUUCGGCACCUUACGAGAAAUCAAAGUUUUUGGGCUCGGGGGGGAGUAUGGUCGCAAGGCUGAACU